GCCCCUAUAGCUCAGGGGAUAGAGCACCGCCCUCCGGAGGCGGGGGCGCAGGUUCGAUUCCUGCUAGGGGCA
rnacentral:tRNA from 1 species